UCUUUGUCUCUCUGUCUCUCUCUCUCUCUCUCUUAUUUUCCUUACCUGAAACAAUUCAGAACAAUUUAGUACUUCUUUCUCCUCAGAGAGGUGAGUAACUUCAAAGAGCUUGGUCUGCCCAGAUGCCAUUAAGGCUGGCAUUUUGUACAAUUACAUGGGAUAGAAAAGGUGAUGCUGGUCCUUCCCUGAAGAAGUACAGCCGGAGAAGAAUCUAUUCCAGAAACAGUCUGAUCUGGUGUGUUGGAAGUACCUGACACCAAAUGAGUGCAAUCAUCGAAUAGAAUCAUUAAGGUUGGAAAAGACCACUAGGAUCAUCUAGUCCAGUGGUCCAUCUACCACCAAUAUUGCCCACUAAAUCACAUCCCUCAGUACUACAUCUACCUUUUCCUUAAACAUCUCCAGUAUUGGUGACUCCACCACUUCCCUGGGCAGCCUGUUCCCAGUGCCUGACCCCUCUCUGAGAAUAUAUGGAAAGAUGAGAGAUUGUUGCUUUUUAAUAGCAAGUAACCCCAGGACGAUGUAAUUUUAAUCCCCGAAGGCAAGUUUGUUGAUAGGACUAGCACUGUUCACAGCCAGCUGUUUUGGGGCCAUUCUGUCUGUUGCAGCCAGGCUCAGUGUGGCAGCACGCAGGGCACGGCAUGUAAACAGUGAGCGCUGGCCAAGGAUUGGAAUAUGACCUGAUGCGAAGUGGAGCCAAUUAGCACGGUGAUGAAUGGACUGCCAGGCUCUGCAUUUACAUGUGGGUGUGCAGACCUCGGAGCCAGUGUGAGGAGAGGGCCAGGCAGCGCUUGCAGAGCCAGUGUGAGGAGGGGGCCAGACUGCUCUUGAAUAGUUCUUACAUUUCCAGAUGGCUCGAAGGGUUUUAGUGCUUUUAGCUUCUUACGUUGGUGGCACCUGGUUGGACCUGAACCGAAUCCUGCAGCAGGUGGAGGGAAAGAGGCUGAGACUGCUGCUGUGGUUGGCGGCCAUGUGCAGGCUGCAGCUGCACGAUCCCGGGCAGCAUAAUGGGGCACGGACAGGCUCAGGAGCCCUCAGGUCAGCCCCGAGGAGCCCUCACCAUGCUGCAGGAGUGCUGGGCUCUGCCCCGGGAGCACAGCUGGAGAAGAAAGCCUCUACAGAUGGAGAAAGGUAAUGCCUGUGCCUGGGAGCGGGCAGGUAGGGGCCUGGGCGCUGUUGCCAUGGGAACGCAUGGAGAAAGGUUGGGCUGUCGGUAGCCCAACUCGCUGAGUGCAGCUGCUCCGUGG
rnacentral:lncRNA from 1 species